rnacentral:rRNA from 1 species
UACGUAGGUGACAAGCGUUAUCCGGAAUUAUUGGGCGUAAAGCGCCCCGCAGGCGGCUGUUCAAGUCUGACGUGAAAUCGCUCGGCUUAACUGGGCGGGGUCGUUGGAAACUGAAUAGCUUGAGGCAAGGAGAGGGGCGUGGAAUUCCCGGUGUAGUGGUGGAAUGCGUAGAUAUCGGGAGGAACAUCAGUGGCGCAAGCGGCGCCCUGGCCUUAGCCUGACGCUCAGGGGCGAAAGCGUGGGGAGCGAACGGG